rnacentral:rRNA from 1 species
UCCUACGGGUGGCUGCAGUGGGGAAUAUUGGACAAUGGGCGCAAGCCUGAUCCAGCCAUGCCGCGUGUGUGAUGAAGGCCUUAGGGUUGUAAAGCACUUUCGCCGAUGAAGAUAAUGACUGUAGUCGGAGAAGAAGCCCCGGCUAACUUCGUGCCAGCAGCCGCGGUAAUACGAAGGGGGCAAGCGUUGUUCGGAUUUACUGGGCGUAAAGCGUACGUAGGCGGAUGAUUAAGUCAGGGGUGAAAUCCCGGGGCUCAACCUCGGAACUGCCUUUGAUACUGGUCGUCUUGAGUCCGGGAGAGGUGAGUGGAACUCCUAGUGUAGAGGUGAAAUUCGUAGAUAUUAGGAAGAACACCAGUGGCGAAGGCGGCUCACUGGCCCGGAACUGACGCUGAGGUACGAAAGCGUGGGGAGCAAACAGGAUUAGAUACCCGGGUAGUCCCC